rfam:Ricinus communis ctg_1100012356183, whole genome shotgun sequence.
UGCAAUCAGUGAUGCUAAUUAUGAAUUAGUGCUGAUUAACUGUGAUGAUCAUACAAAAAAUCACCAUCUUUCGGCUGAGAUUGCA